rnacentral:rRNA from 1 species
UAUUAUUAUAAUUUAAAAAUUAAUAUAUUAAGGUAGUAGUAGUUAUAGUCUUGAAACCUAAAAAAUUUGGCGGUAUUUUAGUCUAUUCAGAGGAACCUGUUCUAUAAUCGAUAAUCCACGAUGGACCUAACUUAAAUUUGUAUUCAGUUUAUAUAUCGUUGUUAUAAAAUAUUUUAUAAGAAUAAUAAUAUUUUUAAUUUUUUAUAAAAAAAUAUAUCAGAUCAAGGUGUAGCUUAUAUUUAAGAAGAAAUGGGUUACAAUAAAGUUAUUUAUAUGAAUAUAAAUUUGAAAUGUUUAUUGAAGGUGGAUUUGAUAGUAAAUUUAUAUAGAUAGAUAAAUUGAUUUUAGCUCUAAAAUAUGUA